rnacentral:rRNA from 1 species
UACGAAGGGGGCUAGCGUUGCUCGGAAUGACUGGGCGUAAAGGGCGCGUAGGCGGCUCAUACAGUCAGGCGUGAAAUUCCCGGGCUCAACCUGGGGGCUGCGCUUGAGACGUGCGAUCUUGAGUGGGGAAGAGGGUCGUGGAAUUCCCAGUGUAGAGGUGAAAUUCGUAGAUAUUGGGAAGAACACCGGUGGCGAAGGCGGCGACCUGGUCCUUGACUGACGCUGAGGCGCGAAAGCGUGGGGAGCAAACAGG